GACGUAGGGGGCCAGCGUUGUUCGGAAUUACUGGGUGUAAAGGGUUCGUAGGCGGUGCGGCAAGUCGGGAGUGAAAUCUCUGGGCUUAACCCAGAGGCUGCUUCCGAAACUGCUGUGCUUGAGUGUGGGAGAGGCGCGUGGAAUUGCAGGUGUAGCGGUGAAAUGCGUAGAUAUCUGCAGGAACACCCGUGGCGAAGGCGGGUCUCUGGACAGUUCCUGACGCUGAGGCACGAAGGCCAGGGGAGCAAACGGG
rnacentral:rRNA from 1 species